AGUGAACGCUGGCGGCGUGCCUAAUACAUGCAAGUCGAACGGAGUGGCGCACGGGUGAGUAAUAUAUAGCUAAUCUGCCCCUUGCUGGAGGACAACAGUUAGAAAUGACUGCUAAUACUCCAUAGCAAGGGAUGAGACUAUAUCGUAUCAGCUAGUCGGUGUGGGAACGGCCUACCGAGGCUAUGCCGCGUAACUGGUCAGAGAGGAUGAUCCGUCACAUUGGAACGGAGACACUGGCGAGACACCUACGGGAAGCAGCGGUAGGGAAAAGUGCGCAAGGGGGGAAUCCGUGACGGGGCAUCGGGGCGUAGAGGAUGACACUUUUGGAAGAGUACACUGCUUUUAAUAAGGAAGCGUUACUUAACGAAUAAGCACCGGCUAACUCCGUGCCAGCAGCCGCGGUAAUAC
rnacentral:rRNA from 1 species